CACACUGGAUUGUCACCUUUGUAUAUACAUAUAGACCAGGGAACCAAGGACAUUCUUAAUUCAUCUUAGAAUAAAAAACGCAAUGCCAGUGUCAGAAUGUGGCCUAGAUAUUUAGCUCGUUUCCUUUAGUUUUGAUAAAAAUACUAACUACAAUGCCACAAUAUCUUGAUGUGGUAAUUGAAUCAUCGUUACUUCGAAGAAGAUGAGUUGGAAAUGUGUUCUUCUGGAUGACGGCACUCCUAAGAACCCUGACAUCAGUUUUCACAGAUCCCCAGUCUUCAAUGUGCCCCUAAUCAAGAGCUCCAAUCAAAGAAGGAAAGAGCCAUUCCAAGAUCCAAAGUUAACAAAAAAAAAGCCAAGAGACAAUUUAGACAAUAACUAAGAAUUCAAGAAUCUGCAGCCUCCAUUUCACAGAGAUGACUUCAUCAACAAGGCAGCCGACAAGCAACAUAGCCAUGGGAGCCAACUAAACAUAGACCUAUAACAAAGAUAAGACUGAAAAGACUUGUAUUACUUAUUAACUAAUUGAAAAAUUAAUUAUUAAUUUGUAGGGGUUGAAAGAUGACACUGUUCCGUCAGGGUGGACAAAUCUUCCGUCGUAUCUUUUCUCACCUUCAGCACACAUAGACUUACCAGAGCAGCAUUAAGCAGUCAAAGGCACCAACCGACUAAAAACGUCAAAAGACCAGUGGGGUUGAGAUGUCCAAUAAAGAAGAAGUUGAUACAGCUCAAGGUCUAUAUAAGAAGUUAUCAAUAGAGAUACUUGCCUCAGGAUUUACUCUUCUUAAAUCGCCAGAAUUAUCCCUAGUCAAGCUUGAAGCUACGAGGGCCACAGGCCUUGAAAUAAAAGCCAGCCUUGAAAUAGAAGAUUUGCUACCCUUCAAAGUUUUUAAAGACCAUCACAGGAUUAACACCAGUGCAAUUUCCUACUGUCUAAUAACAAAACCACAGGGGAAGAGUAAAUCUAUUACGGAAGUAAUCAAUUUAUUGGGACAAGGAGGAAUUGAAGAACAAUGAGGCGUAUGAAGUCAUCUUGACCCUCUUGCAUAAACUAUUAGAGUCUUCAGACUUGGAGCCAGCUCAAUUAUCAAAGCUCUCUUUUAUCACAGAGCAGAUAACGCUACUCUUCAAGAGCCCCAAAGCUAGGAGAUACUUACCAGGUCUUCUCUCUGUUCGUCUCCUAUGGCAAAAGUCCUAAGUAUAUCAGAGCUCCGUCAAGCUUAGUUACUCUAGAGACUGGAUUUCCUGUUUAAACUGUUAAAUAUCUCAGAACAAGGGAAAAUACCUAAAUAGCAGGGAACCCAAUGUUACUCUCAUGUUCCUUGGUUGUGAGGACAAUCAAACGACCAAAACAAUUCUCAUAUUCAUGAUCAAGUCUGCCGGAGGAAAGUAUAUGGAUGUGGUUGCACUCGUCCCAGUGGCAAAAGUGAAUGCAGAAUUUAUAAAUAAUCAAUUAUGAAGACUCUUUAUCAAAUCAGGUUCAUUGACGUUGCCAUAUCGGUUGACAACCAAGCAGCUAAUACAAAUUUCCACACUAAGCCUUUGUUAUGGUGAGCUCCAGACCUUAAUACCUCACCCACAUAACAGCAGUAGGAACGGUUAUCUCCUCUUCAACAUCAAGUGAAAUGUAUUUACUAUGCAGUUUCACAUGAUUUUCAUUUUUGAAAUCUUAGUUAUUGUCUUGUUGAAGUAUCCCUUAUUUUAAUAGUUCGUAUUACAUAAAUUUAUCUUUGUUAAUGAAAUAAGGUUUAUUAUAA
rnacentral:lncRNA from 1 species